rnacentral:RNase_P_RNA from 1 species
UGUUCCUGCCGGAUAGCUGCUCCUCUGCCGCAUAGGUGGCACAGGGGAGGAAAGUCCGAACAUGUACGCAAUUAUUUUGCGUAGGACGGUAGCGGGUAACGCCCGUCUGGGGUGACCCAAGGGAUGCGAACAGUGACGCCGAAGCUGAGAGGCCUAGGGCUCCUUCGGGAGUAAUUCUGCCGGAAGGCAGAGGUGAAACGGCUAAAUUCCUACCUACAUGCAAGGCCGUGUCUCGCGUACAGUGGGAAGUGCCGCUUGAGGCGGCUGGCAACAGCCGUCCCAGAUAAAUAGCUAUCAUUGAACCAGAAUUCGGCUUAUGAGCAGGAACACUAG